AGCAGCCGCGGUAAUUCCAGCUCCAAUAGCGUAUAUUAAAGUUGUUGCAGUUAAAAAGCUCGUAGUUGAAUUUCGGGAUCAGAUUGUUGGUCGUGCCUCGGUACGCACUGGCAUUAUUGGUUCCUACCUUCUGAAGAACCGCGAUGUCAUUAAUUUGGUGUCGUGGGGAAUCAGGACUGUUACUUUGAAAAAAUUAGAGUGUUUAAAGCAGGCGCACGCUUGAAUACAUUAGCAUGGAAUAAUGAAAUAGGACGUUUGAUUCUAUUUUGUUGGUUUCUAGGAUCGACGUAAUGAUUAAUAGGGAUAGUUGGGGGCAUUAGUAUUCAAUUGUCAGAGGUGAAAUUCUUGGAUUUAUUGAAGACUAACUACUGCGAAAGCAUUUGCCAAGGAUGUUUUCAUUAAUCAAGAACGAAAGUUAGGGGAUCGAAGACGAUCAGAUACCGUCGUAGUCUUAACCAUAAACUAUGCCGACUAGGGAUCGGAUGAUGUAAUUUUUAAUGA
rnacentral:rRNA from 1 species